UCGAUCGAGUUCCCUCCUCUAGCUUUCCCCCACCCUUUCCCCGGGAAUGGACGACGGGACCGCCGAUGGACGGCCCGUCGGCGGCACCGAGUACAGCUGGUGCCGGGCCGUGGAGGGCGGGACCGGCAUCACUGUCCUCGCCCUCCUCCUCUCCCGACCUGUCUCCCGCCCCCUCCUCGAUUCCGCUCUCCACCAGCUCCAAUCCUCCCACCCUCUCCUCCGGGCCCACCUCGUCACCGUCGCCUCCAGACACCCCUUCUUCGCCAUCGCCACCCCCCGGUCGGAAGUCCUCCGGCUCCUCUCCUCCUCCGAUCUCCUCCUGCCGCCGCCGGCAUCGGCGUCGGCGGUGUCGGUUUCGCCCUUCCACGCCCUCUUAGAGCAUGAGUUCAACCAGAACCCCUGGUCCGACGGGGGCCCGACUCACCAGGUCCUCUUCGCGACACUCUACGAGAUGCCCGAGCCCGGCCGGUCCACCCUCGCGCUCCGGCUUCACACCGCGGUCUGCGAUCGCACCUCCGCCGUGGCGGUCCUGAAGGAGCUCCUGGCCUUGAUGGACGCUUCGGGGG
rnacentral:lncRNA from 1 species